rnacentral:rRNA from 1 species
AGUUGAGCGGAGAUAUAUGGAGCUUGCUUUAUUAACUUAGCAGCGAACGGGUGAGUAACACGUAGAUAAUCUAUCCUAUACUGGGGGAUAGCCCGAUGAAAGUUGGAUUAAUACCGCAUAUAGCUAUAUAGUUGCAUGAUUAUGUAGUGAAAGAUUUAUUGGUAUAGGAGGAGUCUGCGGCACAUUAGCUAGUAGGUGAGGUACAGGCUUACCUAGGCGACGAUGUGUAGCCGGUCUGAGAGGAUGAACGGCCACAAUGGAACUGAGACACGGUCCAUACUCCUACGGGAGGCAGCAGUGGGGAAUAUUGCACAAUGGGGGAAACCCUGAUGCAGCAACGCCGCGUGAGUGAAGAAGGUUUUCGGAUUGUAAAGCUCUGUUAGCAGGGAAGAGGAAGGACGGUACCUGCAGAGGAAGCCACGGCUAACUACGUGCCAGCAGCCGCGGUAAUACGUAGGUGGCAAGCGUUGUUCGGAAUAACUGGGCGUAAAGGAUGCGUAGGCGGUUAAACAAGUUAUAUGUUAAAUAUAUAGGCUUAACCUGUAGAAAGCAUAUAAAACUGUUUAACUAGAGUGCAGGAGAGGUAAGUGGAAUUCCUAGUGUAGCGGUGAAAUGCGUAGAGAUUAGGAAGAACACCAGUGGCGAAGGCGACUUACUGGACUGUAACUGACGCUGAGGCAUGAGAGCAUGGGGAGCAAACAGGAUUAGAUACCCUGGUAGUCCAUGCUGUAAACGAUGGGUACUAGGUGUGGGUUGUGA